UAACUGAAAUUUUAAAAUAAAAAAAAAGGAAUUGGGCCAAGAUUGGGUCAGACCCUUUCCUGACCCGAUUUGCCUUUGCAACUUAAAGGGGAGCAAACGAAACCCUAGGGGAAUAUGGCCAAACGGCCGCCCCCAUUGCCUGAACUUCCUCUUCACGUAAUGCAAAGAAACUAAAGGCCACAUAAGUUUUUCCUACUAUGGUGCUCACGACAUCGUCCGACUCGUUUCACACGGAGAUGUCUCGCCCCUCUUUUCCGCUUCACUCUCACGCGGUCCUGCCCUAGAAUCCGCGACGGCGAGGGCCUCUAUUCUCCGCUUCACUCUUAUGCGGUCCCUCCUUAGAAUCCGCGACAGCGAGUGCGACUUUGGCCGCCCACACGCUCGCAGCGGCGUCCGACCUUCUACCCACAAACUCGACUGCUCUAGCCUCACUGCUUCAACCGAUAUUUGUUUGUUCCGCCAUGGAUGUUACCAAGUUAUGAUGCAAGCAUAUAAACAAAAACAAAAGCGGAAAUAAAAAGACUCAUAGGGAGUUCCAGGACAAAAAUUCUGCUCCAAGUCACUUGUCCAAGUUGACACUAAGGUUGAUGAGCGGAAAAAUGGGUUCCAUACUUUUCUUUUUUUAAAUGUAAUUUGUUACUGUAAAAAAAAUUAUACCUUAUUAUAAUGUAAAAACUGAUUUUUAUA